GAGUGUAUAGCUCAGUGGUAGAGUGCAUGGCUAGCCUGCAUGAGAUCCUGGGUUCAAUGCCUAGUAUCUCU
rnacentral:tRNA from 1 species